UUAAAAUGCAAUUUUUUGCACAACACUUCCCACAACACUUUGGCAAAAACUUUUUCUUCAUGUUGGACUGCUUCACCCAGAAGGGUGAAGUAAAAGGCAGGAUUCCCUUAAAAAGUCAAGCUCAAGGAAAGAUGGAUUUCUACUGAGCAAAGUCUAGACUUUAGACCAGUAAAUUUUUCCAUUUACUAUGCAAUCUGCUGUUAAUUUUGCAGGUUCUUGUGUUAAAGUUAGCAUGUUGCUCUGCUAACUUGGCUAGCUUAACGUUAGUUAGCAUGAUCACACACCAGAACAGUUUGCAUUAUUGUGGGGCAGUCAGUAACUUAGACAAGAGAAACUGUGUAAUCACAAAGCCUCAUGUGAAGACGACAAACUGCCGGGAUUAGCUAGGUGAAUGUGAAUAACUAUUUUAUGCUUACCUUUGUGCUAGGGAAUUUUAGCUAACGUUAUUUUCACAAUGCAACAGAAAUUUGGUGGCUGGAUGUCCUUCUAGACUCGCUUCCCCUAAAAUGUAUAUUAUCUCCACAUUUAGCUACGCUGAUAGUCACUGCAGUUGUGUGUGUGCCACAGUGACAUGUUAAGUUACUUAGAUAUAGAUAUGAUAGAUAGAUAUGCUUUGACAGUGAAUGUGUAAAAGAUGAAUUGAUUGCUGAAGCACUGUGCAUGUUAACAACAGCUCCAGGAUCACAGUUGCUACUUCGGGUUGCGGUUACACACGUAUAAUGCGCGUGACACGUAAGCCAGUACAUGCGCUGUGUCAACAGCAUUGAUUAGCAUAGAAGCAUACUGUUCAGACGCACGUGACACAUACGACUGAAAAACAUUACUGAGAUGCUUUCAGUGUAGAGACAGUGUUAGUCUGUCUGUGUGAGUUGGGAAAGUGGCUAACUUACUGCUGUUUCACUGAAAUAAGCUGACAGGACCCCAGUGUCAGCAGUACAGCAUGUUACCAGCAUGUACAAUAUGGUGUCAGACAGACCCUUCAUCAACAGCAUCUGUGGGUACACUGCUGACCACAGAAACACGGAAAGAACAUGACAGAGGGUGCAAAGGGGUUGAAGAGGUUGGUGUGACUGAUGAGGACAUCAAAAACAACCUUGAUCUCUGUAGAAGAUAUAUUCUUUCUACCAACAACAAGCCAAAACUAACACAUGAAUUACCUGUCUUACCUUGCAUAGUUAUAACACCUUCAGUGAUAUUGAAUACCUAUUGUACAUGCCCAUUUGAAAAAGUAGGAGUUUAUGGAUAUGCCGCAUGAUAAAAGAACACUAUUUACCCAUGAAAGGGGUGGUCACAUCAUAGACCUAUAGUAUUAAAGCGCAGAUGUGUGUUGGUGUGUCCAAGGUCUGUAGUGAUUGAUGUUCCUUCAGAGGCCUCAGGGCUUUGGGGACCACAAAUAUGACCUCUGCAGAGGUGAGUGGAUCAGCAACUCCGCUAUGACUGACUGCCUACCUGGAGGAACACUCUAGAUGCCUCCUGUGACCUUCUCCUGCAUGGAAAACACAUGGGACACUUUGUACGUGGAGGUGAACUGUGUGUGUGAUUGUGCGCACAAUCACACACGUGUCCUAAUGUACUGGCAGUUACACACCGGUACACACACAUCCCUAAACAUCCAGUGGAUGUUCCUUAUCUUCCUAGAAGGGUAAUGGACUGAUAACCAAAAUGCGCUGCACCCCCUCCUCUGAAUAUAAGCCUCUGAAACUGACCAAUCACAGCAGAGUGGUUCCCUUGUGAUGUAAUUCUAACCCAAUCAUUCUGAUACAUCUCGGGCUCUACCCUUGAGACACACAGAGAGACACUCACAAAUGAAUAAAGCAUUUGGAGAUUGUCAAUAUUACACACAGACAUGCGCAAAGGAGUAGUCAAACACACGAACACACACACACACACACACACACACACACA